rnacentral:rRNA from 1 species
UUUGAAAGCUGGCUCCUUCGGGGUCCGCAUUGUAAUUUGCAGAGGAUGCUUCGGGAGCGGCCCCCAUCUAAGUGCCCUGGAACGGGCCGUCAUAGAGGGUGAAAAUCCCGUCUGGGAUGGGGUGUCCGCGCCCGUGUGAAGCUCCUUCGACGAGUCGAGUUGUUUGGGAAUGCAGCUCUAAAUGGGUGGUAAAUUUCAUCUAAAGCUAAAUAUUGGCCGGAGACCGAUAGCGCACAAGUAGAGUGAUCGAAAGAUGAAAAGCACUUUGAAAAGAGAGUUAAACAGCACGUGAAAUUGUUGAAAGGGAAGCGCUUGCGACCAGACUCGCCCACGGGGUUCAGCCGGCAUUCGUGCCGGUGUACUUCCCCGCGGGCGGGCCAGCGUCGGUUUGGGCGGCCGGUCAAAGGCCCUCGGAAUGUAACGCCCCCCGGGGCGUCUUAUAGCCGAGGGUGCCAUGCGGCCAGCCCAGACCGAGGAACGCGCUUCGGCUCGGACGCUGGCAUAAUGGUCGUAAGCGACCCGUC